UACGGGGGGUGCAAGCGUUGUCCGGAUUUACUGGGCGUAAAGGGCGCGUAGGCGGUUGUAUCAGUCGGGCUUAUAAGUGCGGGGCUCAACCCCGUGAUGGGUUCGGGACGGUAUGACUGGGGCGCGGUCGAGGGAGACGGAAUGCCGGGUGUAGUGGUGAAAUGCGUAGAGAUCCGGCGGAACACCGGUGGUGAAGGCGGUCUCCUGGUCCGAGGGCCGACGCUGAGGCGCGAGAGCGUGGGGAGCGAACCGG
rnacentral:rRNA from 1 species